UACGUAGGGUGCGAGCGUUGUCCGGAAUUAUUGGGCGUAAAGGGCUCGUAGGCGGUUUGUCGCGUCGGGAGUGAAAACCUCGGGCUUAACUCGGGGCUUGCUUUCGAUACGGGCAGACUAGAGGUAUGCAGGGGAGAACGGAAUUCCUGGUGUAGCGGUGAAAUGCGCAGAUAUCAGGAGGAACACCGGUGGCGAAGGCGGGUCUCUGGGCAACAACUGACGCUGAGGAGCGAAAGCGUGGGGAGCAAACAGG
rnacentral:rRNA from 1 species